rnacentral:rRNA from 1 species
UGGCGACCGGCGCACGGGUGAGUAACACGUAUCCAACCUGCCGAUGACUCGGGGAUAGCCUUUCGAAAGAAAGAUUAAUACCCGAUGGCAUAGUUCUUCCGCAUGGUAGAACUAUUAAAGAAUUUCGGUCAUCGAUGGGGAUGCGUUCCAUUAGCUUGUUGGCGGGGUAACGGCCCACCAAGGCAUCGAUGGAUAGGGGUUCUGAGAGGAACGGUCCCCCACAUUGGAACUGAGACACGGUCCAAACUCCUACGGAAGGCAGCAG